rnacentral:miRNA from 1 species
UUCACCUUCUUGUAUAAGCACUGUGCUAAAAUUGCAGGAACUAGGAUUCUAUCUUGGUUUUUGUAAUGAUGCUAGCAGAGUACACACAAGAAGAAAAGUAACUGCA